AGCUGAGCAGCUCCUGGUCGUCAUGGCUGUAGCGGCGACCAAAGCACAUUCCACAGAUGACAUUGGUGACGGACACUACGAUGUGACGGAAGGGGUCAAAGCUGCCGCUGGCCUCCAUGACGGAGCUGAUCCGCCGGAUCAGCUGUAUAGGUCUGGUCGGCCAGAAAACUCCUCCCCUUGCUUGAUGAGUGCCUGCCGGAUUACAUCGCUCCCACCCAUCACCACUACGGGGCGCAUACCAAUCUGGACCUGGAAGAUGGGGCCAUAACGCUCACUCAUCGCUGUCAGACUCAGACUCCAGCAGAACGAGGUUCACAGACUUUCUUUGACAUUAAACCAAAUCCAAAGAUACAGGCUACUGCCAACCCCUAUUAACAAUAUCAACAAUAACGUUCUUUUUUUCAUUUACAGUCAUGAAAGUCAUUAUAAACUCCACUCAUUUGUAAUUAUAUUUACAGUUAAUCGAUUUAGGACUACUUCAAUAAGUGUUUAAGCGUGAUUAAACUUGCGUAACUCCUCGAGUAGCGUACUAUAUCACAUAUUUAAAAGAACAAGCCAUAUAAAUUAAAAAUUAAAGCUUUGCUUAGAUCAGAGGAAGCUAGUCCGUCAUGUAUACGUUAACUGGUCAACUAAAUCACUGUGGAUUAAUGUAGGCCUAAUAUUUUAUUAGAGAAAGUACAUAAGCAAUUCACUACUAUUCGAUGUCAAUUAACAAAAUUAAUAUAAAUCGCCUUUUCAAAUACGCGAUCCCCUUGACAAAUACUGGUUUCGUGCAAAGAUGACGAUAGCGUGCAAAGGUGUGUAUGCGGGAGGGAGAACUUUUAGCCCGGAGUGUUUUGUAAUCAGCGGACUGGCUUCUGACAGCUUGAUAAAUCUCACUCAUCAUGUUAACCAAUAAAGCGUUGUCUUACAACUAAUACAUCUGAAGUAUUUUGAACAAGUUGAAAUGGGCUUCCUUUUUGCAUUUAAUACAGUUUCAGUCUGUUCACUGGGCUGUUUACCAUUAUUGGGAAAGCGACUGAUUCUGUUGGUUGUCAGACUGAGAAAUCGAACUUGCAAAUGCACCCAAAAGUAAACACAUAAAAUAAAUAUACGGUAAUAAAAUAACCAGUAAGGAGCUUACUUAACGCAAUCCCAAAAGGCCUCUAUAAUUUAAUUGCUGAAUGCAAUCAGCUGUAGCCACUUACAAACGGAGAAGGUUCAAGGAAAGCGCAAAUUUCUAAAAAAAAAUAUGGCAAGUAUCGCUCCUCUAAUCUGAAGACCAUCUAAUAAUAUAUACAAAAUAAUAACUUUAAGUCAGAUGUCUAAGUUAAACUUUAAUGACAACGUAACACGCCCUUGCCCGGUCGACGCUAGGGGUUAAAUAUCUGCCCAUGUUCGUGAGAGCUUUGCGGAUUGUGAACCCCAUCCCCCAUUUGCCCAACCCCAGGUUAAGGAUGCUGGGGGGGUUACUCUGUCAGCACCGCAGGGGUGAAAGACCAGCUGAAUUCAUUUCAUCGUUUUCUUUUCAGUAGAAAAAAGCAAAGAAAAAAAUAACCGAAAGGGAGAAAAGACUAAUAGGGAAGGUUGUGCGGAAUAGAGGCCUAUCUCGGCCACGUUUCAAAUUAUAUGUAACGUGUGGAAAUAUUGCAUUCUGACGGGUUAACAAAUAAGCAACAAAUACUAAAAUCUGAGUAAUCUAAAUUAAUAAAUUUGCCCAUACAGUGUAGGGAGGCUGUAAGGGAGGGUUUUUCAAAGAAAAAGAUUUCAUGAUUUGAAAAAUGUAACAAUACGCCACACAUCAAUGCUAAUUUGAUAUUAGAUUGACUUUUAUUAAACUAAGAAUGUAUUCAUUUAGAAUUAACAAUUUUGAAAUGUUUACUUGGUUUUUAAUAAAUGCUGAUUAUGAGGA